AGGGCAACCAGUGCCUGUUGAAAAUAUUGUGUAUCAAACUGCAACUCAGUCGGUAGCUUUUCGACCAACACCAGUUCAAACUAGUGUUGAAAUUAUUGAUAAUAACCGCAGCUCAUAUAUACGAGAACAGAAUUCGGGUCAAUUGACAGGACAGUUAUAUUAUGCAGACGUUAUUUUCCCUCCAUCUACGACCCAAGAUGUUGUGCAUAUCAUAGGUAUUGAGAACCGAACAGUAUACGCCGAUGUGACUGUUUCAGGAGGAGCCACAAGUCUCGUCAAUUCCCGUAAAGGAACGAGUAGUGAUGAGGAAGAAGAAGACUUUGUUGAAAUUCAGGGUCUAAAGAAUUUCGUUGACAAAAGAAGAGAACAUUAAAUCUGCAGCAAUUUGUUAAA